AACGCACAUUGCGCCCGCUGGUAUUCCGGCGGGCAUGCCUGUUCGAGCGUCGUCAUCAACCCUCGGGCCCCCCGUCGUUUCGGGCCCGGCGUUGGGGAUCGGCCUGCUGGGCCGGCCCCGAAAUUCAGUGGCGGUCUCGCCGACGCCUCCUCUGCGCAGUAAUGCACCUCGCACCGGAGCGCGGCGCGGCCUCGCCGUGAAACCUAGACUCAUGAAGUUGACCUCGAAUCAGGUAGGGUUACCCGCUGAACUUAA
rnacentral:misc_RNA from 1 species